rnacentral:lncRNA from 1 species
ACAAACACAUUAUUUGAAUCUUCUCAAGUGUUUCUAUUCCAUAUCACCAAAAUAGUAUAUGACACUAAAUUCUGCUCAACCCUUAAAUGAUAAACAUUGUCUCAACCUCACCUCAAACCCCUAAAUACUAAAACCUAAACCUAAGCACUAAACCUUAAACUCAGAUAUAAACUCUAAAUCCAAAUAUAAUUCAUAAACCCAAAUAGAAUGAUACAAAAUAAAUAACAUAGUACAUAUUAGUGAAAAUAUGAAAUGUAUAUGAUUACAUGGAAAAAUUUAAUGUUGACCCCAACCUCAAU